AGUCUUAUAUUCAAUAAUGAUUUUGGUUUGCAAAACCAAAGGUGAAAUUUAUUCUAAGGCUU
rnacentral:tRNA from 1 species